UGGGGUUGUUUCGCUCACAUUGGGGUUGGUACCCUCAAAAUGGGGUUGGUAAUCUCACACUGGGGUUGGUUCCCUCACUGGGGUCAGGUACCCCCAUUGGGGUGGGGACCCUCAUUGGGAUUGAACACUCCUAUAGGGGUGAGGAACCUCCAUUGGGUUGGGAACCACCAUUGGAAUUGGUACCUUCAUUGGGGUCGGGCACCCAUGUUGGGGUCAGGAAGCUCUACUGGGUCGGGACCCUCAUUGGGGUUGGUACUUUCGUUGGGUUUGGGCACCUCCAUCGGGGUUGGGAUCCUCAUUGGUGUUGGGCAUCUCCAUCAGGGUUAGGAUCCUCAUACAGGUUGGACACCUCUGUUGGGGUUUGGAACAUCUUUUGGGGUUGGGCACCUCUAUUGGGGUUGGGACCUUCAUUGGGGUCAGGCACCUCUGUUGGGGUUGGGAACAUCUAUUGGAGUAGGGAUCCUUAUUGAGGUUGGGACCUUCACUGGGGUUGGACACCUCAAUUAGGGUUGGGACCCUCAUUGGGGUUGGGCACCUCUAUUGGGAUUGGGCACCUCUAUUGGGAUUGGGACCCUCUUUGGUGUUGGGCACCUCUAUUGGGGUUGGGACCUUCAUUGAGGUUGGGACCCUCAUUGGGCUUGGGCACCUCUAUUGGGGUUGGGACCUUCAUUGAGGUUG
ensembl:lncRNA